rnacentral:rRNA from 1 species
GUGGGGAAUAUUGGGCAAUGGGCGCAAGCCUGACCCAGCAACGCCGCGUGAGGGAAGAAGGCUUUCGGGUUGUAAACCUCUGUCCUUGGGGACGAAAAAAAUGACGGUACCCAAGGAGGAAGCUCCGGCUAACUACGUGCCAGCAGCCGCGGUAAUACGUAGGGAGCGAGCGUUGUCCGGAAUUACUGGGCGUAAAGGGUGCGUAGGCGGCAAGGCAAGUCAGAUGUGAAAUCCCCGGGCUUAACUCGGGGGGUGCAUUUGAAACUGCUUUGCUUGAGUGCAGGAGAGGAAAGCGGAAUUCCUAGUGUAGCGGUGAAAUGCGUAGAUAUUAGGAGGAACACCAGUGGCGAAGGCGGCUUUCUGGACUGUAACUGACGCUGAGGCACGAAAGCGUGGGGAGCAAACAGGAUUAGAAACCCUAGUAGUCC